UACGAAACUAAAAUGUUGGUAUCACAAUCUUCAAUAGUCUCGUAAAAUACGAAACUAAAAUGUUGGUAUCACAAUCUUCAAUAGUCUCAUAAAAUACGAAACUAAAAUGUUGGUAUCACAAUCUUCAAUAGUCUCGUAAAAUACGAAACUGAAAUGUUGGUAUCACAAUCUUCAAUAGUCUCAUAAAAUACGAAACUAAAAUGUUGGUAUCACAAUCUUCAAUAGUCUCAUAAAAUACGAAACUAAAAUGUUGGUAUCACAAUCUUCAAUAGUCUCGUAAAAUACGACACUUAAAUUUCAAUACAUUCUAAUAAUUUUUCUUAAACAUCCAUAUUGUACAAAAAUCUUUUUUUUUUUUUUUUAUGCCAUUGUUUACAUGAAUUUUAAUGAAGUAAAUAAAUGAAAAUGUGUUUCUAUACAAUUAGGUUAUUUUUAAAAAUUCAAUAGUCUAUUUGAAAAAAAAAAUUGAAAAUAUUGAUAAGUCAAAUUUUGGAUUAUGAUACUUGUUUUGGAAAAUAUGUCUUGCAGUAUAUUGAUUAUCAAUUUUGACAGCGCGGUGUAACUUUAUAUUAAUUAGAUCGGCUAUUUAGGUUAGUUUGAUAGAAAUUGUAUCAUUUACUUUCUCCAAAUCUAGCUAUUUGAUUGUUUUAUAAGCAUCGGAGGUGCUGCCCCCAUCAUGUUGUUGAUUUUGCUACAAACCAAAAAUAUGUUUUGUUUAUGUCCUGUAUUUUGUUUACGUUUCUAGUUCUUUAUUUAUUUUUUAUGAACUUUGACCUCUAAUGAACUAAUAUCAUCAGCUGAUAAUAUAUGAACUUUGACCUCUAAUGAACUAAUAUCAUCAGCUGAUAAUAUAUGAACUUUGACCUCUAAUGAACUAAUAUAAAAGUUUAAAAAAAAAACUUGGAGGCAUCAGAACUAGCUGUCCACAAGAAUAUAGAUGUACAGGGGCCUGUUUCUCUAAAUUUUAACUAAGAUAAAAUCCAAAUUUUAGUAAUUGGAUUGGAUAAUAUUAGAUUGAUUUUAGUGCUUAGUCAAUUAAAAUUGAAGUAUCUACUAAAAUUUGGAUUUUAUCUUUAGUUAAGAUUUUGAGAAACAGGGCCCAGGUAGUUAAUUCCAGAUACCUGUGUAUAUAUAUUGUAUUCUAAAUACACCUAGACUCGGCUAAUUAUUGCAGUUUAAUUAGAUCCAUUUAAAGCAUAUAUACAAACGUAUAGCUUUUCUUGGCGAUGAAUUGGCAGUUAUCUCAAACUAUUCAAUCCAAUUUAUUCCUAAUAUAUCUGAAUAUUCAAUUCACCGCAAAUAGAUGAAUUGGCAAAGCUUUCUGAAAUUUUGAAAUAUAUUCCCCAGUGUAUAUUCCAAGCUCUUCAAAUUGAAAAUUAUUUUUUUACUUAAUAACUAAUUAUAUAUAAGAUACUUAUAAUGCCCCUUUUAAAAGCUAAUUAGAAUAGAAUUUUAUUGCAUCAAAAUGUUCUUUGAGGAUCGAAUACAAUAUACAAAGUAUAAAAUUACAAGUUCAUGUGAAUCAUAUUUAAUAGAAAACGAUGGAAUCUUCUUUUUUUUUUUACAUUUUAUAUCUUCGAAUUAUAAAUUACACGGUGAAUCAUAAUGAAUAGAAAAAGAUGGAAUCUUUUUUUUUAAACAUUCUUACAUGUUCGAGAAUUAUAGAUUAUAUUUGUGAAUUAAAUAAGAACAUUAGACCAAGUUAUUGAUAAAUAAUUAAAUAAGAACAUAAGACCAAGUUAUUGAUAAAUAAUUCUAUCAGACUUAAAUGUAUUUCAGAUUUAUAUUUCAAGAAUUCAUUAUGGUUGUGAAAGCAACCUACAACAAUCCUCAAUUCCCCCUACGUCACCAAAUUCUACAAUGGCCCAUUAUUUUCCAACAAAUGUCUUAUGAAAUUAGAUAAUAUUUGAAAAGUUUGACAAACAUUGCUCACAAACUUAAAGUGAAUGAGAAUUGAAAUCUACCUCGAAUAAUAUGUUUCAGCGGUAUGAACUGCAAGAAUCUGUAACAGUGUUUCUAUUUUUAAUUUUUUUUCUUGUCAGACAUUUUUUAAUACAAAUAAAGAGGAAUAACUCUUAUUGUUAUUCAAUAACAUAGCAUUAAAGGGACAAUAACACUCUUGCUGGCUUGAAAGCUCCAGAAAAUACAAAAUAUCUCUAUCUAAGUACUAGAUGUUUAAAUGUCCUACCUGUUGUGUAAAUUAUCCAUUACAUCCUAUUUUACUUGUCCAGAGGUUUCGAAAAUAUUUUUAAAUUAAAGUUUCAUUUGAAAAGGUUUACGUUAGACGUUUCAAACCAUUAUGUUGAAUUUUUUAAAAAUUUUAAAUAAGGUGUGUUAAGAUGAAAUUUGUAUCAUCAAUUAAUUGAAAUUUUCUAAAAUAGUACAAUUUGUUGACCAGAAUAAAGAUUGGGACAUAUUAUUCAGUUACAACAAGAGUGGUAUUGAGCCUUUAAGAUUAGACUACGACAAUAGUUGGCCAAACAUGCGCUACAAGGCUCUGACAAGGUGACAAGGAAUUGAGGAAGUAAUCAAUCUGAAUAAAACACAGAUCCUAUUUCAUUUCAUUUUUUAUAGUUCAAAAUUUCUUUAUACUUGUCUUCACUACUCUAGGAUCUGGAAGAGUUGUUAUAUAACCAACCUGCGUUCUGGAAUUGCGUGAGAGAUUAGCCAAUGAAACCAUCUGUUACAACGACUUCUUGGCGUUUGAUGCACAAAACUGUGGGUAAACCAUGCGUACGACCCCUGACACGACCUCCCAAUACAACCGGUCAGAUCUUCAUAUAAUGUAGGCCAGCGAAAGUAUAAAAAAGAAAUGAAAUUUAAAACUGUAUUUUAAUCCGAUUGAGAAGUAAUUAUAAUGAAUGAAAUUGUCUUUUUUUAAUGUUAUCACAUGUGAAAUAUCAUAUACCGGUGUCGUACUUAACAUUUAUUUUUCUUCUUAAAACAUACUCACUUAUCUUAAAAGAGCUAAAUCGCUAAUAUUUUGGAUCUAGAAGUUGAACCAAAUGGCAACUUGCGACAUUCCGAUAGCAUGAAUUUUUUGGCUUCUUAUUAUGUGCUAAAAAUAGCACCACUUUCUCCGUGAGAAAAAUGACUGGUUGGGAAAAUUUUGAAGUGGAAGCCCUGGUCGCAAGGCAUAAUAAUAUAAUAAUGUAAUCUGAUUGUAAAUGAACUGAUUUACAUUCAAUUGUUACCGUUUUGACUCUAAUUUCAAAUCAGUUAUGUCCAGCGAAAUACGGCAUCAGUCUCAACCGCCUGGCAAUUUUUAGUGUGUGGUUAUUCCAGUCUAUUGUGCAUGCUCUCCAGAUAAGAUAUGGCGUCAUGGUACAUGAUUCGUGUACUAAUGGUAAAAUGUUUAUUUUGUCUUAAAUAUUGGAUAUCAGAAGCCUACCUUUUCCCGGUAAGAUCACAACAUCAGUGUUGAUUUAAAUUUGUGUUUUCAAUGUGUAAGACUUUGGAUGAUAUUGAGUUAGAGUCUUAGCUACUUUAAAUAUGGCUAGGCAAGUAUUUAUCAAAUUUCUUGAAUUAUCAAAAUAAUAAUUAGAAUGAAUCUUGUUCUUUAGUUUCUGAAGGAAAGUUAAAACGUAAAAGGCGUUAAUGGUACUUUUUAUGAAUUAUAAAACCUCACUGACAAAUCUUGAUAGCCAUUUUCUAUUUAUGUAAUAUUCUCCACGAUUUCCAUAACUUAUUUUGAAUUAAUCAUCUUCCAUUUGAAAUGAUCAAUGUUUUGGGUGUUUUAUUUAAUUUAAAUACCUUACAAGUUAAAUUUUUUAAAUGCUGUUAAUUGCAUAUGUUUUAUUAUAAUAUAUUUGUUUGUAUAUAUUGUGAAUGAAAUCGAUGACAUUUGUAUACAGUGUUCUACUCUAUUUAAUCCGUUUUUUUUUCACACUUUGAUUAAAACACAGAUCUUAUUUCAUUUCAUUUUUUUUUAUAGUUCAAAAUUUCAUUUUACUGGUCUUCACUACACUAGGAUGCGUUCUGGUUAAUGUAAGGGAUUAGCCAAUGAAACGGUCUGUUACGGCAAGUUCUUGGCGUGCGAUGCAUGGAACUGUGAUAAACAGUGGUUGAUUAAUCAAAUGUCUGAAAUCAGAGGGUCAAAAGCUGCUCGUAUGAACCCUGACACGACCUGACACGACCUGCCACUACAACAGGUCAGAUCUUCAUGUAGUGUGUAGGCCAUUGAAAGUACAAAAAAACGAAACGAAAUAUAGAUCUAUAUUUUAAUCUAAUUGCUUUUUUCAUGAAAUUUUCCAAAUUCAUUUUAUGUAAAUUCUAAUAUUGACAAUUUCGUGAUGUUGCAUCAAUUAUAAAUAAGGAAUGAAAUGAAAUGAAAUGAAAUGGGGUUUAACGUCCUACUGUUCUGCUCCUAAACUGGGCUAAUGAAGACGGGCAUACGCCAUACAGUGUGCUAUGAGGUAAAUUUUGCCCGGCCAGCGGCACUAUCGCCUACUCUUGUCAGGCCCUCCGUUCUGCACCACUGACAAGGGGAAACCACGUCGGAAAAUCCAGAUGAACUUUCUCGGCCAAUGCAGGGAUCGAACACCCGACCUCCCGGCUAGCGAGCCAGCAAAAUAAGGAUUAAUUUGAUAUUUCCAUAAAUCAUGUUUUUUACCACUUUGAAUAUCUCUGAACCACUCUUACUCCUGGAGUGCUGUAUCAUGAGGCCUGUCAUUGAGUCAACUGGUGUGGUUUCGAAUCCCCGGUUGUACGUGACAAGGAGUAGAGUUGCCUGUCCAACCUAGUGGGUUUUCUCCGGGUCCUCCGGUUUCCUCCCACUGCUAAAGACCCCUAAGCACAAGCGAAUUAUUGAAAUAAAAAUAAACCAUAUGUUAGUCCCGAAAUGACCUAGUUUGUGUCGAGUGGACGUUAAACCCCAUUUCUCUCUCUCUCUUACUUCUGGAAUAAGAUUGACACAGUUGUUGGCGUGGUAACCAGAAGUUCCGGCUUUCGAUCCUGGUCUUGGUUUAAAGCGGUCAUCAGGAUUGUCUAGUGUGGUUUCCCCUUGUUCAGUGGCGCCUGGCCUAGUCAUUUGGAUGGAUGAAAAAAUUAGACAUGCUCAUAAAAUAACCCUUUGCAAUUGGAAUUUGAUACAGGACUGUAGCGACACCAUAGGUAAUAAUUCCUUCAUUGCACACUGUAGGGCGUAUGCCUGUCUUCAUUAGCCCGGUCGGAGCAGAACACUAGGAUAUUGGAACCCCAUUUCAUUUCAUUUUUGUAAUAAGGUUGAUUGAGAUUUCCUUAAGGAACGUUUAUAUCAAAUAGGUUUGGAUAAGUUGAAAGGUAUAUCAAAGAUACAUUAUUUAAUACAUAGGUUUUGUGUAAGUUGAAAGAUAUAUCAAAGAUACAUUAUUUAAUACAUAGGUUUGGAUAAGUUGAAAGAUAUAUAUUAAAGAUAUAUUAUGUACAUGUAAGAGCUAAAUCGGGUUGUUACAGAAGCUUUUUCUAGCUUCAAAUGUUAUAUAAAUAAUUAUUUAGACAUUAUUACCAUAAGCCUCUAAUUGUGUUCUAGACUAUAGGAUGGCUUAUAUAUUGAUAAUGGUUAGAUGGUUAAUCAAGACUUAAGUUUAUUAUUGUAGCAAGAUACUUGAUAAUCAAGACUAUCUUGUCCAAACUUUAGACACUCAACAAGAUCAGAAUUAUUAAAUAAACGCUCCGUUAAAUCUUACAUAAUGCAUCAGACUUAUUAAAACACAGAUCCUAUUUCGUUUCGUUUUUUAUAGUUCAAGAUCUCGUUUUACUUGUCCUUACUACACUAGGAUCUGGAAGAGUUGUUAUAUAACUCACGUUCUGGAUGAUGUGAGGGAUUAGCCAAUGAAAUGGUCUGUAACGGCGAGUUCUUGGCGUACGAUGCACAGAACCGUGGGUAAACCACUAGAAACGUUAACACUGAUUGAUUGACGUCAUAGCGGAAAAAGCCGCAAGGACAAGUAGUGUAGACCAUCGAAAGUAUAAAAAAAAAUGAAACAAAAUAUAGAUCUGUAUUUUAAUCUGACUGAUAAUGCAUCUUUAACAAUCUGGUCAGGGAUAUUUAAAUCCGGUUAUGUACAUUUUAUAUUUUGUAAAUAUUAUUUGUGUAAAUAAUACUAUACAAAUCACCAAUGAUAUACAUAAUUAUGUACGAAGACUGUCUAUUGAUAAAGAAACCUAGGGUUUGAAAUUAUUCAUGUUUUUUUAUAUACACAUAUAUACCAUAUUAAAUAUGAAAUUAUCGUUCAUCUAUGAUAAUCAUUUAAUAAAUUAUUGCCAUAUAUAUUAUAUAUAUAUACACAUA